UACGUAGGGGGCAAGCGUUUGUCCGGAUUUAUUGGGCGUAAAGAGCGUGUAGGCGGCCAGGUAGGUCUGCUGUGAAAACUCGAGGCUUAACCUCGAGCUAUCGGCGGAAACCCAUCUGGCUAGAGUCCGGAAGAGGAGAAUGGAAUUCCCGGUGUAGCGGUGAAAUGGCGCAGAUAUCGGGAAGAACACCCGUGGCGAAGGCGG
rnacentral:rRNA from 1 species